ACAGAGGGGGCAAGCGUUAUUCGGAAUUAUUGGGCGUAAAGGGCGCGUAGGCGGCUUUUUAAGUCAGAUGUGUAAUCCCCGAGCUCAACUUGGGAACUGCAUCUGAGACUGGGAGGCUAGAGUGCUGGAGAGGGUGGUGGAAUUCCUCGUGUAGCGGUGAAAUGCGUAGAGAUGAGGAGGAACACCAGUGGCGAAGGCGGCCACCUGGACAGUAACUGACGCUGAGGCGCGAAAGUGUGGGUAGCAAACAGGA
rnacentral:rRNA from 1 species